rnacentral:rRNA from 1 species
GACGAACGCUGGCGGCGUGCCUAAUACAUGCAAGUAGAACGCUGAAGAGAGGAGCUUGCUCUUCUUGGAUGAGUUGCGAACGGGUGAGUAACGCGUAGGUAACCUGCCUUGUAGCGGGGGAUAACUAUUGGAAACGAUAGCUAAUACCGCAUAACAAUGGAUGACACAUGUCAUUUAUUUGAAAGGGGCAAUUGCUCCACUACAAGAUGGACCUGCGUUGUAUUAGCUAGUAGGUGAGGUAAUGGCUCACCUAGGCGACGAUACAUAGCCGACCUGAGAGGGUGAUCGGCCACACUGGGACUGAGACACGGCCCAGACUCCUACGGGAGGCAGCAGUAGGGAAUCUUCGGCAAUAGGGGCAACCCUGACCGAGCAACGCCGCGUGAGUGAAGAAGGUUUUCGGAUCGUAAAGCUCUGUUGUAAGUCAAGAACGGGUGUGAGAGUGGAAAGUUCACACUGUGACGGUAGCUUACCAGAAAGGGAUGGCUAACUACGUG